rnacentral:lncRNA from 1 species
CUCCCCUUCAGACAAUGUGGCAGUUGGGCCAGGGAGAAGCGGUGGAGCAAGGAGCCAGGGAGCAACUGAAAGAGGGAAUACAGAGAGGCCCAAAAGGAGAAAGUGGAGAAGCAGGAGGGGAGCCGGGCCCAGCCAGAGUCUCCUCGGAGAAGAAAAAAUGGCUGCGCUAGAGGGCCCGGGACAGGGAAUGAUGGCAUCUGAGGAGGACGCGGUCACUGCCAGUCAGGGCGCCCCUCACUCCCCCAGGCUCCGGGUGGUGAGGAGAGUGGCCCGGCCCACUGUGCAGCACCCAGCGCUGCCAUCGCCGCCCCCGUAGCACAAAUAAAAGGCGCGGGUUCAGCCUCUGCCUGGGCUCCGCGUCAGGCUCGCCCCACUGUCUUCUAACUUUACCUCGGGAUUUGGCUCCAAAGCGGCCUUCAGACAGGGUCCAUGACUGGGAAGCAGCAAGCAGCGAGCCCCGGCUCUUGUAGUGGGCAGGUGCAGGGAAGAUACUGAAGUGGAGAGGAGGGCGGCCUGGGAGUGCCGCCGGAGUCACAGGGACGGAGGCCUGUGAACUGGUCAGCGUCUCUGACCCUGGUGCCACCGCUGCCCCCACGCUGGGAGGAGGCCAACAGGGGCGGGUGAGCACGCCAUUGGUUCACGGGUGUGGGUUGGUCCAUCCGGGCCCUGAGUGUGGGCCGGGGUUUGGACGGUGCGGCCCCAGUCUGCCUGGGCUGGAAGUGACGCAACCCGAGACCUCGGAGCUUCAUAAAGCCUAGCAGACACUGUGGCUGUGAUCCAAGCUCUGAGCCGAGGGCAGCGGGGAGGGGGCUGCUGGGUGCUGGGAGCCUCUGCUGGGCCUCCUGUAGCGUGGAUCUCUGAGGCGCUAAGGAAGGAAGCUUUGGGAAAAGAAGCGGGGACCCUCGCCCGCGUGCUGUUUUGUGCAGCCUCGCCACAGAACAGAACGCCUGAGGUCGGCAGUGGUGGCCGUCCUGGGUCCAGCUCCAGCCCCGUGUCCUCCAGGGCCCGGCCGACUCCACCCACUUCUUCUCACGUCUGAGCCUCUGCCGCUGGGACUCCAAGAGGCCUGCUGCCAGCAGACGCUGCGAUGGCACUCCACUGAGGUAGGCCCUAGAUCUGUCACUGCCUCAAAGAUAAACGCAGUCACAAGUCAGCUCCACAGGCCAGCGCCGUGGCCACCACCUCUGCUGCAGUCCCAGGCUCCCCCACGGCAGCCCCAGGCUUCCUCACCACACAGAUGCCUGAGGUCUAACUUCACCCCCACCGCCGCUGGGCCCACGCUCAGCGCCCGUUGUUUGGCCACCGCGGCCGCCAUCUUCCCACGCUCAACAUUGCCUCCUCCCCACACUUCCUCGCUUCCAACGCUGGAGCCUGCAGGACUCAUGGCUGCCACCGUCACAGCCUCCCUGCUGUUCAGGGCCGCCCUACUCUUCCUGGCCGUGGCCGCCGCCCCACUCUUCAGGGCAGCCCCACUCUGCAUGGACUCGGCCUUCGCCCACGUCCAGAAUUCGUAG